rnacentral:rRNA from 1 species
AUUGAACGCUGGCGGCAGGCCUAACACAUGCAAGUCGAACGGUAACAGGAAGAAGCUUGCUUCUUUGCUGACGAGUGGCGGACGGGUGAGUAAUGUCUGGGAAACUGCCUGAUGGAGGGGGAUAACUACUGGAAACGGUAGCUAAUACCGCAUAACGUCGCAAGACCAAAGAGGGGGACCUUCGGGCCUCUUGCCAUCGGAUGUGCCCAGAUGGGAUUAGCUAGUAGGUGGGGUAACGGCUCACCUAGGCGACGAUCCCUAGCUGGUCUGAGAGGAUGACCAGCCACACUGGAACUGAGACACGGUCCAGACUCCUACGGGAGGCAGCAGUGGGGAAUAUUGCACAAUGGGCGCAAGCCUGAUGCAGCCAUGCCGCGUGUAUGAAGAAGGCAUUCGGGUUGUAAAGUACUUUCAGCGGGGAGGAAGGGAGUAAAGUUAAUACCUUUACUCAUUGACGUUACCCGCAGAAGAAGCACCGGCUAACUCCGUG